rnacentral:rRNA from 1 species
AACGAACGCUGGCGGCAGGCUUAACACAUGCAAGUCGAGCGCCCCGCAAGGGGAGCGGCAGACGGGUGAGUAACACGUGGGAACGUACCCUUUACUACGGAAUAACGCAGGGAAACUUGUGCUAAUACCGUAUGUGCCCUUCGGGGGAAAGAUUUAUCGGUAAAGGAUCGGCCCGCGUUGGAUUAGCUAGUUGGUGGGGUAAAGGCCUACCAAGGCGACGAUCCAUAGCUGGUCUGAGAGGAUGAUCAGCCACAUUGGGACUGAGACACGGCCCAAACUCCUACGGGAGGCAGCAGUGGGGAAUAUUGGACAAUGGGCGCAAGCCUGAUCCAGCCAUGCCGCGUGAGUGAUGAAGGCCUUAGGGUUGUAAAGCUCUUUCACCGGAGAAGAUAAUGACGGUAUCCGGAGAAGAAGCCCCGGCUAACUUCGUGCCAGCCGCCGCGGUAAAAC